GGCAUCCUCGCCGCCGAUGAAUCCACUGGCACGAUCGGCAAGCGCCUGUCCAGCAUAAACGUUGAGAACGUGGAAUCCAACCGCCGCGCUCUUCGCGAGCUCCUCUUCACCACCCCGGGGGCCCUCCAGUGCCUCAGCGGGGUCAUCCUCUUCGAGGAAACCCUCUACCAGAAGACCGCGGCGGGGAAGCCAUUCGUGGACGUUCUCACCGAAGCCAACGUCCUCCCCGGCAUCAAGGUCGACAAGGGCACCGUCGAGCUGGCCGGCACCAACGGCGAGACCACCACCCAGGGCCUCGACGACCUCGGCAAGCGCUGCGCCAAGUACUACGAGGCCGGCGCGCGCUUCGCCAAGUGGCGGGCGGUCCUCAAGAUCGGCCCCACCGAGCCCUCCCAGCUGUCCAUCCAGGAGAACGCCAACGGGCUGGCCCGGUACGCCAUCAUCUGCCAGGAGAACGGCCUCGUGCCCAUCGUCGAGCCCGAGAUCCUCGUCGACGGCCCCCACGACAUCGCCCGCUGCGCCGACGUGACCGAGCGCGUCCUCGCCGCCUGCUACAAGGCCCUCAACGACCACCACGUCCUCCUGGAAGGGACCCUGCUGAAGCCCAACAUGGUGACCCCCGGCUCGGACUCGAAGAAGGUGGCCCCGGAGGUGGUGGCCGAGUACACCGUCAGGGCUCUGCAGCGCACCGUCCCCGCCGCCGUCCCCGCCAUCGUCUUCCUCUCCGGGGGCCAGAGCGAGGAGGAGGCCACGCUGAACCUCAACGCCAUGAACCAGCUCAAGGGCAAGAAGCCCUGGAGCCUCUCCUUCUCCUUCGGCAGGGCCCUGCAGCAGAGCACCCUCAAGACGUGGGCCGGGAAGGAGGAGAACAUCCCCAAGGCGCAGGCCGCCUUCCUGGCCAGGUGCAAGGCCAACUCCGAGGCCACCCUCGGGACCUACAAGGGCGACGCGGCCGGCGGCGACGGCGUCUCCGAGAGCCUCCACGUCAAGGACUACAAGUACUGAUCUCUACCCGGGGGCUCUUCCCCUCUCCCGCCUCCCGUUUUUAACUUAUUAUUAUGAGAUCAGAGAGAUAGAGUAGAGAGAGAAGAAGAAGAGAGAGAGAGAGAGAGAGAGAAGAAGAGGGAGAGAGACGAAGGCUGCACUGUUUCUUUCCGGGGCUUUUUGGUGAACUAUGUAUGGGCUUGUUAUCUUUGCAUAAUAAGGCGGAGGGGGGGUCUUUAGGAAGAUGCUUGUUAUUUUGUCUCCAAUCGAGCCCGUUCCAUAAAAAAACUUGAAUCAUCUUCGCCCGUUUUCAAGGGCGGCGGCUUUCGCCGUUUGGUUACGAUCAUCGUGGCUAUUUUGGGCAUAUUAUUCUUUAUGUCGACUUUCAUGAAUCUUGGCCAAAUCCAACGAGUUAUGGCAGAUCGCAU
rnacentral:lncRNA from 1 species